UAUGUGAUCGUCUCUCGCAUAUCAAUAAGCGGAGGAAAAGAAACUAACAAGGAUUCCCCUAGUAACGGCGAGUGAAGCGGGAAGAGCUCAAAUUUGAAAUCUUAAAGGGUUUCCCUUUACGAAUUGUAGUUUAAAGAAGUGUUUUCUGUUGAGGUUUUGGUAAAAGUUCUUUGGAAUAGGACAUCAUAGAGGGUGAGAAUCCCGUAUUUGACCUUUACUUUCAACUUUGUGAUACACUUUCAAAGAGUCGGAUUGUUUGGGAAUGCAGUCCAAAAUGGGUGGUAAAUUUCAUCUAAAGCUAAAUAUUGGCGAGAGACCGAUAGCGAACAAGUACCGUGAGGGAAAGAUGAAAAGAACUUUGAAAAGAGAGUUAAACAGUACGUGAAAUUGUCAAAAGGGAAGCGUUUGACACCAGUGUUGUUUUUCUGAAAAUCAAUUAAAGAACUGUUUAUGCUAAGCUGUUUAGACUUUAUCAGCUAUCUGUUUAGUUUUGAGCUUUUCUUUAAUGCACUUUUCAGUUAACAAGUCAACAUCAAUUUCUUUUGCUGUAAAAAAGCUUGAGGAAGGUGGCUUGAGAUUCGUCUUAAGUGUUUAUAGCCUUUUGCCUAUGCAGUCGGAGAGAUUGAGGUCUGCAGCGUAGAUCCUUCGGGGCUAAAUGCAUUUGUGCUAAGUUAUAGCAUUUUAUAGACAACUUGUUGACUAUGAUUUGUCUUGUAGCUUACUCGCUUAUGUUAUUUUACCUACGCUUAGGAUGUUGAGCGCAUGUCUCUCUCU
rnacentral:rRNA from 1 species